rnacentral:rRNA from 1 species
CCUACGUGUGGCAGCAGUGAGGAAUAUUGGUCAAUGGGCGCAAGCCUGAACCAGCCAAGUAGCGUGAAGGACGACUGCCCUACGGUUUGUAAACUUCUUUUAUAAAGGAAUAAAGUCAGGCACGUGCGCCUUUCUGUAUGUACUUUAUGAAUAAGCAUCGGCUAACUCCGUGCCCUCAGCCGCGGUCAUCCGGAGGGUCCGAGCGUUUUCCGGAUUUCUUUGGUUUAAAGGGAGCGUAGAUGGGCUGUUAAGUCAGUUGUGAAAGUUUGGGGCUCAACCGUAGAAGUGCGAGUGAUACUGGCAGUCUGGAGAGCAGGUGAGGUAGGUGGAAUUCGGGGUGUAGCGGUGAAAUGCUUAGAUAGAACGAAGAACUCCGAUUGCGAAGGCAGCUUACUAAACUGGAACUGACAUUGAGGCUCGAAAGUGUGGGUAUCAAACAGGAUUAGAUACCCUUGUAGUC